rnacentral:lncRNA from 1 species
CUACUGUAAUGCAAUUUUUCUCCUCCCAUCCUUUCAUUCGUUUAUACUGGGGUGUUCUUGUGGCUUCUCAUUUUAUUCAAUGUAAUAUAAAGUAGUAUGAUGCCUCUGGCUUCCCUCUAUCACACGUCUUCUUUUCGAGUAAAGGUUUUUCAUAAAUGUGAGCGUGGAAGAAGAAACCAGUUAAAUAUGGAACUUCACACCAGGACACAAAAGGACUUCAAACUUUUAGAUUCCACAAGUAUGUGAAAAGAUGCAGUAUUUGUCUUUCUGUGCAUGGUUUACUUCACUUAUCAUCAUGUCCCUCAGGUUCAUCCACGUUGUUGCAAAUGACAGGAUUUCAUUCAUUUUUAAGACUGAAUAGUACUCCAUUAUGCAAAUAUACCAGAUUUUCAUUGUCUAUUCGUUCACUGAUGAACACGGGUUAAUCCUAUAUGUUGGCUAUUGUGAAUAAAGCUGCAAUGAAUAUGAGAGUACAGAUAUAUUCUUGACAUAUUAAUUUUAUUUUAUUUGGCAAUAUACCCAAUAGUAGCUAGAUCAUAUCAGAGUUCUAUUUUUAAUUUUUGAGGAAACUUCAUACUGUUUUUCAUAAUAGUUAUUACUAAUUUACACUCAGUAUACAAGAGUUCCCUUUUCUCCACAUUCUUUCCAAAAUUUGUUUCCUUUUCCCUUUUUGAUAACAGCUACUCUAACUGGGGUGAAAUAAUAUCUCACUGUGGUUUUAAUUUUCAUUUAUCUGAUUAAUGAUUUUGAGCUUUUUAAA